UGGGGAAUUUUGGACAAUGGGGGAACCCCUGAUCCAGCCAUCCCGCGUGUGCGAUGAAGGCCUUCGGGUUGUAAAGCACUUUUGGCAGGAAAGAAACGUCAUGGGUUAAUACCCCGUGAAACUGACGGUACCUGCAGAAUAAGCACCGGCUAACUACGUGCCAGCAGCCGCGGUAAUACGUAGGGUGCAAGCGUUAAUCGGAAUUACUGGGCGUAAAGCGUGCGCAGGCGGUUCGGAAAGAAAGAUGUGAAAUCCCAGAGCUCAACUUUGGAACUGCAUUUUUAACUACCGGGCUAGAGUGUGUCAGAGGGAGGUGGAAUUCCGCGUGUAGCAGUGAAAUGCGUAGAUAUGCGGAGGAACACCGAUGGCGAAGGCAGCCUCCUGGGAUAACACUGACGCUCAUGCACGAAAGCGUGGGGAGCAAACAGG
rnacentral:rRNA from 1 species